rnacentral:rRNA from 1 species
CAGGGAUUGCCUCAGUAACGGCGAGUGAAGCGGCAACAGCUCAAAUUUGAAAUCUGGCCCUUUCAGGGUCCGAGUUGUAAUUUGUAGAGGAUGUUUCGGGCGCGGCGCCGGUCUAAGUCCCUUGGAACAGGGCGUCAUAGAGGGUGAGAAUCCCGUAUGUGACCGGUGACCAACCCCAUGUGAAACCCCUUCGACGAGUCGAGUUGUUUGGGAAUGCAGCUCCAAAUGGGUGGUAAAUUUCAUCUAAAGCUAAAUACCGGCCAGAGACCGAUAGCGCACAAGUAGAGUGAUCGAAAGAUGAAAAGCACUUUGGAAAGAGAGUCAAAAAGUACGUGAAAUUGUUGAAAGGGAAGCGCUUGCAACCAGACCUGUCCGCGGGCGUUCAACCCCCGUUCUCGGGGGUGCACUCGUCCGCGAUCAGGCCAGCAUCGGUUCGGGCGGACGGAUAAAGGCCUUGGGAACGUAGCUCCCUUCGGGGAGUGUUAUAGCCCUCGGUGCAAUGCCGCCAGCCCGGACCGAGGACCGCGCUUCGGCUAGGAUGCUGGCGUAAUGGUUGUAAGCGACCCGUCUUGAAACACGGACCAAGGAGUCUAACAUCUAUGCGAGUGUUUGGGUGUCAAACCCAUGCGCGUAAUGAAAGUGAACGGAGGUGAGAACCCCUUCCGGGGCGCAUCAUCGACCGAUCCAGAUGUCUUCGGAUGGAUUUGAGUACGAGCAUAGCUGUUGGGACCCGAAAGAUGGUGAACUAUGCCUGAAUAGGGUGAAGCCAGAGGAAACUCUGGUGGAGGCUCGCAGCGGUUCUGACGUGCAAAUCGAUCGUCAAAUUUGGGUAUAGGGGCGAAAGACUAAUCGAACCAUCUAGUAGCUGGUUCCUGCCGAAGUUUCCCUCAGGA